rnacentral:rRNA from 1 species
UACGUAGGGUGCGAGCGUUGUCCGGAAUUACUGGGCGUAAAGAGCUCGUAGGUGGUUUGUCGCGUUGUUCGUGAAACUGCCACAGCUUAACUGUGGGCGUGCGGGCGAUACGGGCAGACUGGAGUACUGCAGGGGAGGCUGGAAUUCCUGGUGUAGCGGUGGAAUGCGCAGAUAUCAGGAGGAACACCGGUGGCGAAGGCGGGUCUCUGGGCAGUAACUGACGCUGGAGGAGCGAAAGCGUGGGGAGCGAACAGGAUUAGACUACCCC